CCUUGCCAGCCCGCUCAGAACUUAAAGGAAUUGACGGGGGCCCGCACAAGCGGAGGAGCAUGUGGUUUAAUUCGAUGAUACGCGAGGAACCUUACCUGGGCUCGAACGUAAGAUGACUGUAGGUGAAAGCUUACAUCUCUUCGGAGCAUUUUACGAGGUGCUGCAUGGUUGUCGUCAGCUCGUGCCGUGAGGUGUCGGGUUAAGUCCCAUAACGAGCGCAACCCUUGUCCUUAGUUACCAGCACGUUAUGGUGGGCACUCUAAGGAGACUGCCGGUGACAAACCGGAGGAAGGUGGGGAUGACGUCAAGUCAUCAUGGCCCUUAUGUCCAGGGCGACACACGUGCUACAAUGGCCGGCACAACGGGAAGCGAGUUCGCGAGGACAAGCGGAUCCCUUAAAGCCGGUCGCAGUUCGGAUUGAAGUCUGCAACUCGACUUCAUGAAGCUGGAAUCGCUAGUAAUCGUGGAUCAGCCAAGCCGCGGUGAAUACGUUCCCGGGCCUU
rnacentral:rRNA from 1 species